UUUCCGUAGGUGAACCUGCGGAAGGAUCAUUAUUGUAUAACCGGUGUGCGAGGGCUGUCGCUGACCCGAAAGGUCGUGCACGCCCGAGUGCCCUCACACACAUCCAUCUCACCCCUAUGUGCACCACCGCGUGGGUCCCCCUUUGGCUUGUUCGGAGGGGGGCUUACGUUUUCACACAAACUUUGUAUGCAGUGUAGAAUGUAUUUUUUGUUUUUGCGAUCACGCAAUCAAUACAACUUUCAACAACGGAUCUCUUGGCUCUC
rnacentral:misc_RNA from 1 species